rnacentral:rRNA from 1 species
AUUGAACGCUGGCGGCAGGCCUAACACAUGCAAGUCGAGCGGGGUUUUCGGACCUAGCGGCGGACGGGUGAGUAAUGCGUAGGAAGCUACCCGAUAGAGGGGGAUACCAGUUGGAAACGACUGUUAAUACCGCAUAAUGUCUACGGACCAAAGUGUGGGACCUUCGGGCCACAUGCUAUCGGAUGCGCCUACGUGGGAUUAGCUAGUUGGUGAGGUAAUGGCUCACCAAGGCGACGAUCCCUAGCUGGUUUGAGGGGAUGAUCAGCCACACUGGAGCGGGGACAGGGUCCAGAGUCCGAAGGGAGGCAGCAGUGGGGAAUAUGGGGAAAUGGGCGCAAUCCUGAUCCAGCCAGGCCGCGUGUGUGAAGAAGGCCUUCGGGUUGUAAAGCACUUUCAGUAGGGAGGAAGCGUUGUGUGUUAAUAGUACACAGCGUUGACGUUACCUACAGAAGAAGCACCGGCUAACUCUGUGCCAGCCGCCGCCGUAACAC